CAUCACAAUACUGGUGAUGCCACUGCCCUCUAGAGGAAGAGAGGAGGAACUGCUUCUUACAGCGUCUCAGGACAUGGCAGGACUGGAUACGGAAUGUCUCAUGUUCCCGCCAGGAGCACCGUGGCCAGGACCCCUCCAGCUGUGUCAGUAUGAGACCUCUGACACGGUGACCGCGGGGGAGAGCAUCGCUCAGGUCUUCCUGCGCCAGUGGAGACAGGCCAGAGGAUUAGCCGCGCGGGCGCGUAGGAACAUCUGCUGCCGAGUCAGGAGACUGCGCCUGAGGAUCCUCACGCACCGAGCUUAUAAAUGUCUCUAUUAAAUAUCUCUGACCGGC